GUUGCCAUAGUAACAGCGGAGCUUAUCAACAACAGGCGAUGUAUUUUUUUAGCAAAGAUAUUAACGGUAGCUAGCAAGCAGGCUAUCAAAGGAAUAUUAGCUAACUGAUGAGAUCAAAUGGCUGACAAACGUGGUUUGGAGAAACUGGACUUUUGUGCAUUAAGCAUCGAGCAACAGCAGCAACUCCGACAAUUUAAGAGAUGUAUUUCUCAAAAGACCCACAGGCAUUCGAGAGUAUGCAGCAGAUUACUUCACCGCUCCAAACUGCAGGGUGAUCCUGCCCACACAGGCACAGACUGAAUCCUUACCGGAUUGUUUGGCAGUUCAACUGUUAUUGAAGUGUAACGCUGUAACAGGCCUCUUUUCUCUGUGUUCUGUACAUCCUCUGUAUUGACUAGUUAUGUCAAAGUAACAUGAUGGGAAUGUACUGGCACCCAGGCAGAUGUUCUUACUGAGCAUCAUUACAACAGGUUAGUUACAGGGCUACAGAAGGAUGUUUUAUACCGCUGGUUGAGAGGAAAAGAUUUCUAGGCCUGUAGGGUGGAGUGGACAGCCUCUUUACAGGAGUUCUCAGGGUAAAGUCUAAAUGGGAUCAUUGGGACGUCCCAACUCUGACGUUAAGCCAUCGAAGUUGAAAUAUAAACCGGUUAAGGUUACCGAUGUCCCAAGGAUUCCGGAUAGCACUAACUUUUUUCUCAAGCCUCAAGAGUUCCCCCUUCUGGACUCUUAUGUACUUCCACUAACUCCCCAGACAUUAAGCAAGAUGAGACAAUGUGACCGCAGCAAUACUGACCAUAACUUUAGAAUGAUCUGACCACACUGGAUACACAGUUUAAAUGUUUAAUGAAUUAAAAAUCAUCAAGUAACCAGCGCAUCAGGCUUUGCUUUAGUAAAAACAGGUCAAUUCCAUCUGUUACAAAUAAUUCAGAAUUCUGUUUGAUUCACAUUUUAUAAUCUGACACGCUACAAAAAUAGGCACAUCUGGUUUAACAAUUAAGUGAUUGUAUAGAGAAGAAGACCCUGAAAUUGUAUAAAAACCUAGACCCUGACAAUAUUGGACAUUUCAACAGUAGGCCUACGUAGUACAUUCUGUAACCAACAUACUGUGGUAGAGCAUGAUGAAUAGAGCUUUUAAAUCCUGAGCGAAGGGCACAAAUCAUCAAUG